rnacentral:rRNA from 1 species
GNAGGGGGCAAGCGUNAUCCGGAUUACUGGGUGUAAAGGGAGCGUAGACGGCAGUGCAAGUCUGAAGUGAAAGCCCGGGGCUCAACCCCGGGACUGCUUUUGGAAACUGUGCAGCUAGAGUGUCGGAGAGGCAAGCGGAAUUCCUAGUGUAGCGGUGAAAUGCGUAGAUAUUAGGAGGAACACCAGUGGCGAAGGCGGCUUGCUGGACGAUGACUGACGUUGAGGCUCGAAAGCGUGGGGAGCAAACAGGAUUAGAUACCCUGGUAGUCCACGCCGUAAACGAUGACUACUAGGUGUCGGGGAGCAAAGCUCUUCGGUGCCGCAGCCAACGCAAUAAGUAGUCCACCUGGGGAGU